UACGGAGGGGGCGAGCGUUAUUCGGAAUUAUUGGGCGUAAAGGGCGCGUAGGCGGCUUGACAAGUCAAAGGUGAAAUCCCUCGGCUCAAUUGAGGAACUGCCUUUGAAACUGUCUGGCUUGAAUCCGGGAGAGGGAUGUGGAAUUCCAGGUGUAGCGGUGAAAUGCGUAGAUAUCUGGAGGAACACCGGUGGCGAAGGCGGCAUCCUGGACCGGUAUUGACGCUGAGGCGCGAAAGCCAGGGGAGCAAACGGG
rnacentral:rRNA from 1 species